GAUAUUAUUGAAUUUCAUACUUUCAGGAAGCUUAAUCAAGAAGGUGGCAAUGCCCCCCGGAGCUGUUUCCUUGGAGGAUGUGGAUCUUGAUCAAGUUAGCGUUGAUUUUGUCCUCAAUUGUGCAAGAAAAGGCGGACUUCUUGAACUAUCUGAAGCUAUUAGAGAUUAUCAUGACAGUACUCUGUUCCCUCAUAUGAGUAAUGCAGGUUCAACUGAUGAAUUCUUUCUAGCUACAAAUCCUGAACAAUCGGGUUUGCCUCCAAGAAGAU
rnacentral:misc_RNA from 1 species